UACGUAGGGCGCAAGCGUUAUCCGGAAUUAUUGGGCGUAAAGAGCUCGUAGGCGGUUUGUCGCGUCUGCCGUGAAAGUCCGGGGCUCAACUCCGGAUCUGCGGUGGGUACGGGCAGACUAGAGUGCAGUAGGGGAGACUGGAAUUCCUGGUGUAGCGGUGAAAUGCGCAGAUAUCAGGAAGAACACCGAUGGCGAAGGCAGAUCUCUGGGCCGUAACUGACGCUGAGGAGCGAAAGCAUGGGGAGCGAACAGG
rnacentral:rRNA from 1 species